CUAGGCACGAACCCUGCAAGAGCAGGACAACCCUGAUGAUUGGGAGACCCAUGUGAGUUCUUACACAACCAGAGGAGAUUGUCUUACACGCACAGGGGCCCAAUUCUUAUACAGGGAGGUGUGGACUUCAAAUACCAAUACGGGACUUUUUGGUUUUGUAAUUGGAAUGAGUUAAGUAUAAACCCCUUUACAAGUAUCAAUUGGAGGGCAAGUCUGGUGCCAGCAGCCGCGGUAAUUCCAGCUCCAAUAGCGUAUAUUAAAGUUGUUGCAGUUAAAAAGCUCGUAGUUGGAUUUCUGUUAAUAAUUUAUAUAAAAUAUUUUGAUGAAUAUUUAUAUAAUAUUAACAUAAUUCAUAUUACUAUAUAUUUUAGUAUAUGAAAUUUUACUUUGAGAAAAUUAGAGUGCUUAAAGCAGGCAUAUGCCUUGAAUACUCCAGCAUGGAAUAAUAUUAAAGAUUUUUAUCUUUCUUAUUGGUUCUAAGAUAAGAAUAAUGAUUAAUAGGGACAGUUGGGGGCAUUUGUAUUUAACAGUCAGAGGUGAAUUUCUUUAGAA
rnacentral:rRNA from 1 species